AACUUUCAACAACGGAUCACUUGGCUCUCGCAUCGAUGAAGAACGCAGCGAAAUGCGAUACGUAAUGUGAAUUGCAGAAUUCAGUGAAUGAUCGAAUCUUUGAACGCACCUUGCGCCCUUUGGCCAUUCCGAAGGGCAUGCCUGUUUGAGUAUCAUGAACACCUCAACUCUUCAUGGUUUUCCAUGAUGAGCUUGGACUUUGGGGGGUUUGCUGGCCCUAUGGUCAGCUCCUCUUAAAUGAAUCAGCUUGCCAGUGUUUGGUGGGCAUCACAGGUGUGAUAACUAUCUACGCUUGUGGUUUUCCACAAGAUAAACCUUCAGCAGUGGAGGUUCGCUGGAGCUCACAGAUUGUCUCUCCUCAGCGAGGACAGCCCUUUGAAUGUUUGAUCUCAAAUCAGGUAGGACUACCCGCUGAACUUAAGCAUAUCAAUAAGCGGAGGCU
rnacentral:misc_RNA from 1 species